GGUCUUGAAGUUGUGUAGGGUGGUAACAGUAAUUAUGCUAAAAUUUUUAGGCCUUCCUUGUUUUUAAAAUAAAUCAAGAAGUUUAAAUUGUGCAUAUUUUUCCACAGAAGUUUGUAGAAAAUGUUAUAAGGUUCUUUCCAUUUAAACUUCAUCAAGCAAAUUAUCAGCCAAUUCAUAAUUUUCCUGUCUGUAUUUUUCCCUCUUUGACAGUGCUUCUUCUUUAGUUCAGACAAAAUCUUCUCGUUUUAUUUUAUACAAAAGGAAGUUAUUUUUAUUCCUGCAAUUCUCUAUUACAUUGUAAUAGUCCUAGGCAGUAUAUAAUUGCUUAUAAUGCUCUAAAAUCUUGCGAAAGAAAACUAAAUGGAAUGAGGAAAAGAACUUCUCAUCACUUCAUCUGAGCAGUAACACCGUUAUCUUGUUUAUUACGUUGUGUUCUUAGGACAUUAACUAUUAUCUGUUAUAAAGACUUUAAAGAAAGUUAUUUCAAUUAUUGAUUAUUAUGAAUGGACUUAUUCCACUUUCAAACAAGGCUCAAAUAUAACUAUGAGUUUUUAAUACUGAAUCUUAUAUUUCCAUUUAUCAGCCUGUCCAGCACAUUAUUUUGGAAAACAUUGUAACCAGCAAUGUUACGAUAAAUUUGGAAAUGUGAUAGACUGUUCUGAAAUCCUUUUUUGUCUGCCCGACCCAUAUGGAUGUUCCUGUUUAAGUGGAUACCUUCUCCCAUUUUGCAAUGAAAUCUGUGAGAAUGGACGGUAUGGAGUGAAUUGCCUACAAAAUUGUCCUCAGAACUGUUAUACAACUUGCAACCCUUUUAAUGGAACAUGUAUUGGUGGAUGUAAAUCAGGAUGGCAUGGCGCUAUGUGCCAAAUAAGUUAUCCCGUGUUAAAAUCAAACGUAACAAUUACAAAUAUAACAUCGGAUAGCGUUGUUGUAUAUUUUCAUAAAUGGAAUAAGGAUACGGACGAAGGUGAAGGAACACCUUUCCGCUACUAUGUUCAGUUUCAGAUAUGCUAAUUGAUAUUAAAUAGGUUAUUUAUGUAACGUAUAGACUUAUCACUUACGAUACGUUUACAACAUGUUAUUCAAUAGAAUUUAUAGUUUAUACAGCUUUAAGUAUUAGAUAAAGACGACCGGAUAAUUCGAAUUAUGCAUUUUGUAACUAUUUGUACACUUGACUACAAAUACAGAAAGUUGAUCAAGAGAUUUGAUGUAUAAGUAAUACGAAUUAAUCUGGUGUAAUGCGCAAUAUAAAGCUGACACUUGUAACGAAGAACAAAACUACAGUAUUUACCUUCUCGCCUAUUACAUAUAACAGAGGAAAGUAAGUCGAUCGGUCAAAAAAGACCCCUCCGCAUUUUUUGGACUCAGAAACCUUCAAACGCCGAGAAACGAAAAAAUAAUUUAGGGAGUUUUUUCAGUUUGUAUGAAUGUUAGUGUGUGCGUGUGCCACAAUUCCCUUCACCGACUUUGAAGCUUGCUUAAUUAAUUAACUCCUGUGUCUUUUGUCAAAAAUUUCUGAAAUUUCGCAGAAAACUUUCUCACAUAUUAGGGAGAUCGGUGCUAUUAAAUUUUGGUGAUUAAAGGUCAUAGGAGUGGGGAGGUUGAGGCGGAGUAUUAUGUCUCAUAUCUGGAAUAAGGUUGAACUUAAUGAAGAUCUUGAUUGU